rnacentral:lncRNA from 1 species
UAUUUNUUGCCCUCUCCUCUUUUUUCACUUUUCUAGGGCUUUCAGACCGACGAGUAUAAUGCCGCUGUACGGGAGAGGGGAGGGGGAGCGAGGCGGCGAAUUUACCAGAGCGCCGAAGGAAGAGGCUGGGGAGAGCUGACGAAGCAAGAAGAAGAGACUAUCGGGGUGAGGCGGGGCGUCUUUCACCGGAGGUGCGAGGAAGAGCAGGGGCCGGCCGAUCCUUAAUUAUGCUUCUCUUCUCUGCGGGGAAUAAAUAAAUGUAUAUGUAUAUAUUUAUUGAAUUAGCAGCAGCAACAACCGGCGGAGUGUUGGACGGGUAAGGUGGGGAAGAGAUGAGACGACCGGGUUGGAGCUUGGAAGUGGGAGGCGGAAGACGAUGAAUUAUAUAUUUAUUCUAAUCUAUUCGAUUCGAUGGGAAGUUGGAAAAUACCGCGACGAUGAAUAUGGAUAUUAAUUUUUUUCUUUUUUCCUUUUGGCUCUAGGGGAAGCAGGGGAGGGGAGGCUUGGGAAACCACCGCAUAUUCCCCUCCGGUAUGCGCUGUGGCGUGAAUAAUAUGCUCCACCCAGCUGCACCAAGUUAGCAUAAAGAGGAUUAUGCGUUUUCUUUCCUGAUAAAAUAUUGGAAAAACUUCAAAAAACCCUCCGUGGUUUCACAGUUUCUCAUUUUAGUACCGUGUAAUUUAAAGUGUAUUAAUUUGGUGCCAUGUGGCUUCAUUUUUAUCUUUUCGGCAGCUUUUUCGUUAAUAUUUCGUUGAAUUAUAUGCAAAAAAUUUAAGAUACCUACCUAGGUUUAUUGAAUAUUCACGUUAGUACCCUUUAAUUUUAAUUUUGUCACUGAUUUAAGAAAAAAAAUAGUAAAAUUGAUAAUAAAAAAUUAAAAAUGAAACCAUUUGGCAUCAAAUUGAUACACUUUAAACUAUAGGGUACUAAAGUGAGAAAGUGCGAAACCACAUGAAAUUUUUUUGAAGUUUUUUCUAAAAUAUUACUUGUUGAAACCACAUGGGAUAUUUUUGAAGUUUUUCCUAAAAUAUUACUUGUUGUCUGGUUGAAGAAAAAAAAAAAGUAAAAUG